GACGAACGCUGGCGGCGUGCUUAACGCAUGCAAGUCGAACGGAAAGGCCCUGCUUUUGUGGGGUGCUCGAGUGGCGAACGGGUGAGUAACACGUGAGUAACCUGCCCUUGACUUUGGGAUAACUUCAGGAAACUGGGGCUAAUACCGGAUAGGGGCUCCUGCUGCAUGGUGGGGGUUGGAAAGUUUCGGCGGUUGGGGAUGGACUCGCGGCUUAUCAGCUUGUUGGUGGGGUAGUGGCUUACCAAGGCUUUGACGGGUAGCCGGCCUGAGAGGGUGACCGGCCACAUUGGGACUGAGAUACGGCCCAGACUCCUACGGGAGGCAGCAGUGGGGAAUAUUGCACAAUGGGCGGAAGCCUGAUGCAGCAACGCCGCGUGCGGGAUGACGGCCUUCGGGUUGUAAACCGCUUUCGCCUGUGACGAAGCGUGAGUGACGGUAAUGGGUAAAGAAGCACCGGCUAACUACGUG
rnacentral:rRNA from 1 species